GAUGAACGCUAGCGACAGGCCUAACACAUGCAAGUCGAGGGGCAGCGCGGAGGUAGCAAUACUUCUGGCGGCGACCGGCGCACGGGUGAGUAACACGUAUGCAAUCUGCCUGUAACAGGGGGAUAACCCGGAGAAAUCCGGCCUAAUACCCCAUAACGACGAGAUCUCGCAUGGGGAUUCGUCUAAAGAGAGCAAUCUUGGUUACAGAUGAGCAUGCGGUCCAUUAGCCAGUUGGCGGGGUAACGGCCCACCAAAGCGACGAUGGAUAGGGGUUCUGAGAGGAAGGUCCCCCACAUUGGAACUGAGACACGGUCCAAACUCCUACGGGAGGCAGCAGUGAGGAAUAUUGGUCAAUGGUCGGCAGACUGAACCAGCCAAGUCGCGUGAAGGAAGACGGCCCUAAGGGUUGUAAACUUCUUUUGUCGGAGAGUAAAGGUCUUCACGAGUGGAGAUUUGCAAGUAUCCGAAGAAAAAGCAUCGGCUAACUCCGUG
rnacentral:rRNA from 1 species